CCUGACCUCUGGCAUCCUUUGGCUUUGGCUAUUCCUUGACUAUCCUGCUGUUUGUGUCCUUGUCGGGACUGCAUUGGAAUCACCUUUCCUGCACAGCCCCAGUGCACAGAUUCACAGUCCAUGUGGCUUAUCUGAUUACCUUGGACUGUGUCUAGCUGCAAGGGUGAGCAAACAGAUCUGCACUACAGACUCCCGUCUCGGGUAAGAACCCUGACACACACCUCGCAUGUCAAGAGGUGUGUGUCAGGAUCUAGCCUUUCUACCCCAAACAGAACCGGACCUCUGGCUUAUCGAAACCAACCCUACAGAUCACCUGAGCAAGUCACAGAGACUAGAUCCUCCUAAUUUGAAAGUUCACUGUGUCUCUUGGUUAUGGCCGGCGAUACUACAGUUGCACCAGGAACUUGAGUUAGUUUGCUAAUGAAAAAAAUUAAAAAUUUUUUGCUAUGAUUUGACUACUCCUUUGACACUGUUAAUCCAGGAUUUCUCAAUGCCCCACCACACCUUAGCAUUUGAAACAGUACAAUUUAUUUGCACUUUUCUGUAUAACAUGCAACACACCUUGCUGACAGUCUGUGAUGUUAACUAUACUGCAUAAUUAUUUCAGACAAAAGCUUUAACUGUCAUAGGUUCUAAUCAUGUUGAACUAAAAAAGUAGCCUUGUAAGCUAUGUUCACUGUAAACUUUG